AUUGAACGCUGGCGGCAGGCUUAACACAUGCAAGUCGAGCGGAGAGAGGUAGCUUGCUACCGAUCUUAGCGGCGGACGGGUGAGUAAUGCUUAGGAAUCUGCCUAUUCGUGGGGGACAACAUUUCGAAAGGAAUGCUAAUACCGCAUACGUCCUACGGGAGAAAGUGGGGGAUCUUCGGACCUUACUCUAUCAGAUGAGCCUAGGUCGGAUUAGCUAGUCGGUGGGGUAAAGGCUCACCAAGGCGACGAUCCGUAACUGGUCGGAGAGGAUGAGCAGUCUCACUGGAACUGAGACACGGUCCAGACUCCUACGGGAGGCAGCAGUGGGGAAUAUUGGACAAUGGGCGAAAGCCUGAUCCAGCCAUGCCGCGUGUGUGAAGAAGGUCGUCGGAUUGUAAAGCACUUUAAGUUGGGAGGAAGGGCAUUAACCUAAUACGUUAGUGUUUUGACGUUACCAACAAAAUAAGCACCGGCUAACUCUGUGCCAGCCGCCGCGGUAAUAC
rnacentral:rRNA from 1 species